AAAACACUUUUUUUACCAUCCUGAUUAUAAAUCUUUACGGACGUCAGCAAAUAAUCUCUCACUGGAAUAUAUAAAUACUGUUCAAAAAUCACCAGAAAAAAAUAUUUGUCACUCAUUUCUAUUUCUGAAGCAAAAAUGAAGUUCUUCUACGCUUUGCUCAUGCUGUGGGCCAUAGUAGCCUGCGCUUUAUUCCAAAGUGCAAGCGCUCAAUGCCCAGAUACAGAUAACUGUAAUCUAGAUAUAUGCAAGAUAGUAACGAAUUCGGAUAAUGGAUGCCAAGUGUGUGAAUGCACUCAAAACGGACAGCCUGCCUAAUAUCUAUAACUGCCAAAUAUCAAGACAGACCUGCCUCGUCAGCUAUAUGAGAGUUUUAUUGAAAUUCAACAACAAAAUCACAGAUGUUAUAAAUUUAAUUAAAUAAUAAACUUAAAAUCAAAGAUUGUGAGCUAUUUUAUCUUCAUUUGUACUUCCUUAAUAAAAUUUCUUUCCACUUUUC